AUUGAACGCUGGCGGAAUGCUUUACACAUGCAAGUCGAACGGCAGCACGGACUUCGGUCUGGUGGCGAGUGGCGAACGGGUGAGUAAUGUAUCGGAACGUGCCCAGUCGUGGGGGAUAACGUAGUGAAAAUUACGCUAAUACCGCAUACGAUCUAUGGAUGAAAGCGGGGGACCGUAAGGCCUCGCGCGAUUGGAGCGGCCGAUAUCAGAUUAGGUAGUUGGUGGGGUAAAGGCUCACCAAGCCGACGAUCUGUAGCUGGUCUGAGAGGACGACCAGCCACACUGGAACUGAGACACGGUCCAGACUCCUACGGGAGGCAGCAGUGGGGAAUUUUGGACAAUGGGCGCAAGCCUGAUCCAGCCAUUCCGCGUGCAGGAUGAAGGCCCUCGGGUUGUAAACUGCUUUUGUACGGAACGAAAAGGUCCUGGUUAAUACCUGGGGCCCAUGACGGUACCGUAAGAAUGAGCACCGGCUAACUACGUGCCAGCCGCCGCGGUAA
rnacentral:rRNA from 1 species